rnacentral:lncRNA from 1 species
UAAAUGUUAGUUAGUCCCACAUUGGUUAGAAAGGAAAACAUUCCUCUCAAAUUAGGCUAUAAAUAGGAUACCUCUCUUGUAAACAAUCACACUAUUCAAUACAAUUCUCUUCUCUUUGUAUUGUCUUAUUUUCUCUCUUAAAUUCAACUUGGUAUCAGAGCUACUAUUCUUAGUGUUCUCGAUAUAUCAAGAGUUGAGUAUGCUCUGUGAUUGCCACUAUUAGUGGAUCCUUCACAUCAGAAAAAUCUCUUGUAUAUCCUUUUCAUACCGUUAGGUCGUCGCUAUAGUCGGAGUCUUAUUCUCCAUCGACAUCAUCU